UCCGCCCACCCCAGGCGCGCAUGCGUGCUUCGCCCGACCAGGAGCCGGGAGCCAUGGCACGGCCGGGCGCGGGGCGAGCGCGGUACUUGCUGCUUCUGGCGCAGGAGAACUUGGCUUUCCGGCUGCCGGAAAUAAAAACGUUGGUUUCCCUCUGUGGUGGACAAUUGAGCAGUCAGCAGGAACUACGCCUAAAUUCUCCAUUUUGGAUUCUUAGCCUACCUUCAGAAGAUAUAGCUAAAGGACUAAUGAAACGAACAGUAUGUGCAAAAUCUAUAUUUGAGCUGUGGGGCCAUGGAAAAUCUACAGAUGAGCUGUACUCUUCAUUGAAGAAUUAUCCACUAGAGAAUAUGGCUCCGUAUUUACAGUCCAAUUUAACAUACAAAAUAAAGGUUCAUGCUUUUAACAAAACACUGACACAAGAAGAAAAAAUUCAAAGGAUAGAUUCUCUAGAGUUUUUGCCGUUUGAAGGAAAAGUGAAUUUAAAGAAACCGGACAAUAUAUUUUGGUUAUUAGAAGACUAUGGAAUGGAUCCAAACAAUAUUCCCGAGCAUCCUAUUUAUUUAUAUUUUGGGAGAUGGAUUGCCAAUGGACAAAGGGAUCUCAUUGAAUCAUAUAGUGUAAAAAAGAGACAUUUUAUUGGGAAUACAAGCAUGGAUGCUUGUUUAGCUUUUAUCAUGGCCAACCACGGGAGAGUAAAACCAAAUGAUGUUGUAUUCGAUCCAUUUGUCGGAACAGGUGGACUUCUUAUAGCAUCAGCACACUUUGGAGCUUAUGUAUUUGGAACGGAUAUAGAUUAUAGCACAGUACAUGGACUGGGCAAAGCUAGCCGGAAGAACCAAAAGUGGAGAGGUCCAGAUGAAAAUAUCAGAGCCAACCUUCGACAGUAUGGUUUGGAAAAGCACUACCUUGAUGCAUUUGUUUCUGAUGCAUCAAGGCCCAUAUGGAGGAAGGGAGCACAGUUUGAUGCAAUAAUCACGGACCCUCCCUAUGGAAUUCGAGAAGCCACCAGAAGAACUGGUUCACAAAAGGAGAUGGCUAAAAUGACAGAAAGAGGAACUGAAAAUCACAUCUCCAUUUCUUCAAAUUAUCAUCUGAGCGAUAUCCUUUUUGACCUGUUAAAAUUUGCGGCUGAACACCUGGUGAUUGGAGGAAGAUUGGUUUACUGGCUUCCUAUAUAUAAACCAGAAUAUACAGAAGAGAUUAUACCCCGGCACCCAUGUCUGAAACUGAUUAGCAACUGUGAGCAGACACUUUCCAGCCACACGUCUAGAUACCUGAUAACCAUGGAAAAGGUGAAAGAAUUCGAGUGUCUUCUGGCAUUGGGAGUUGGAUGGCACCUGAUUCCAGAACUCUCAGUCUGCUUUCUGUUUCCCUGCACUGCUGCAAUGAAGUACCACGAGCAACCACCAGAAGUGUCCUUACAUCAUGUGAUGGCCUCCAUGUGAUUCCAUUUUGGCAGCACAGAGAAAUGGAGCAAAGACUGAGUGGAAUGAAGUCCCAAGGCAGGGAUUUUGUUUUAAUUAUGUUGAACUUAUUCUAUUCUCUGUGCUGGACAAUAAGGAAGGCUGAGUGAAGGAAGAUAGACUCUUUUGAACUGUGGUGUUGGAGGAAAAUUCUGAGAGUGCUUUGGACCGCAAGAAGAUCCAACCAGUCCAUACUCCAGGAAAUAAUGCCCAACUGCUCACUGGAUGGAAGGAUACUUUGGCCACAUAAUAAGAAGACAGGGAAGCUUGGAGAAGAUAAUGAUGCUGGGGAAAAUGGAAAGAAAAGGAAGAGGGGCCAACCAAGGGCAAGAUGGAUGGAUGGUAUCAUUGAAGUGACUAGCUUGACCUUGAAGGAGCUGGGGUGGCUACGGCUGACAGGAAGCUCUGGCAUGGGCUGGUCCGUGAGGUCACAAAGAGUCAGAAGCAACUGAGCGAAUAAACAGCAACAUUCUCUGUGCUGGUCUCUGGUAAAGAACAAUGAAACUAUGAAUUUGGAACUUUGGAACAUCCUCAUUAAUUAGGUGCAACUUAAAGAAAUAAAAGUCCAUAGUAAUUUCUGCAUGUAGUCAGAAAAAAAACAAAUACCUGUUUCAGGAGUCUCAAACUGACACUGAUACAUAUUUCGUAAGUCAAGGUCCCUCCCAUUUCUAAAACAGUUUAUAGAUGAAGUAGCACAGAUCCCUUCAUAUUACUCCAACAAACUUCCACCUAUCGUCCACGCUACUUCAUUUGUGAAGUGCUUCAGAAGUGUAGGAAAACGGGGGAAAUUGAGCCGGGGAAAAAUUGUCUUUUGAGCUCCCAAUACGCAUGGAAACAAGAUAAAACAAGAUUAACACGUGGGUUGGGAUCUUUAAGAAUGAUUCUUUAUGUCUCCUUGAGAGUAAGGGGCUUGAGAGGGAAAGUAAAGCAAUCCAUAGAUGUGGUGUCUGCCUUAAGGAAGUUAUCUUGUGUCUCCAUGGAUGAUUGAACUAGAGGUAGGAGGAAGUGAUCCUGGGUAAGUAAAUUCUCAGUCUUAUUUAAAGAUGGAAUCUCACACAAAGAAGAAGAUUUUCCCGCUUUCCCCAGCUCCAUCUGAUGAAGUUCUUAGCACAAAAGUGCAAUGGUGCUAUGGUAAAGUUUUGGCAGAUGGCAGUUUUGUACAAUAACACCAUAACAACAUUCAGGAGAACAGCUGCCCUACAAUCUAUAGAACUACUUCCCCAAACCAUACAACCUUGGAAAUGUCCUAGUGCAGACACAAGAAAUUGCUACAAACAGCCCCCACUCCCAAAAUAAUGGAAUGAAUAGAUGGAGAAGUAACAUUAAUUUGAAAAACCCAGAAAACCCAAGGAGCAAUUUCAUGAGAUUUCAUGAUUUUUAAAGCCAUUAUGAAUGAAUGUUCAGUAUGAACUGCUGGCUGCAACAUAGCUGUUAAGAACAUAAAAAAAACAAAGAACAUAGAAAAAGCCAGACAAUUGGUCCAUUUCAGCCCAUCUUCUCUUGUGGGUUUUAGGCAGGAAUCUUCCCAGCCAUGCCUGGUGUUGCCAAGGGUUAAACCUGGGAGAGAAAAGCCCAUCUUGUACUUUGUCUUUGACAGUAAAGUAUACGAGGCCAACUCUAGAAAAGAGAGAAACAGAAUACACAUGGCGAAAUUUAAAUGUAGACUAGUUAUUUGAUCCAGCAGGUAGAAAUGGACAAGUGUGUCAGGACCCAUGUUUCCCGGGCCUUCACAUUGGCGCCGGGAAUCAGGCCCCUGACAUUCCCGCACAUUCCUGGACUGAUAAGCAGGCCGGGGCCGGCCUUGAGACACCAACGGACAAAGGGGGUUUUUGGCGGGCACUAUGCGCGGGUUUUUCACCGAGCGGGAAUUGCAUGUUUGAAUGUGGGAGGAGGGUAUAUAAAGGGACCCGAGGGCAUCACCCAGCACUCUUGGCUUCUUAUGCGUCAGUUAUCCUUCAGUAAACGUUCACCUUGUUUA